rnacentral:tRNA from 1 species
UCCCUGGUGGUCCUGUGGCUAGGACUCUGCGAUCCCAAUGCAGAGGCCUGGGUUUCAUCCCCGGUCAGGGAA